rnacentral:rRNA from 1 species
GUGCUCGAAAGAGAACCGUAACACAGGUGCUGCAUGGCUGUCGUCAGCUCGUGUCGUGAGAUGUUGGGUUAAGUCCCGCAACGAGCGCAACCCUUGUCCUUAGUUGCUACGCAAGAGCACUCUAAGGAGACUGCCGGUGACAAACCGGAGGAAGGUGGGGAUGACGUCAAGUCCUCAUGGCCCUUAUGGGUAGGGCUUCACACGUCAUACAAUGGUCGGUACAGAGGGCUGCCAAACCGCGAGGUGGAGCUAACCCCAGAAAACCGAUCGUAGUCCGGAUCGCAGUCUGCAACUCGACUGCGUGAAGCUGGAAUCGCUAGUAAUCGCGGAUCAGCAUGUCGCGGUGAAUACGUUCCCGGGCCUUGUACACACCGA